UACGGGGGGGGCAAGCGUUGUUCGGAAUUACUGGGCGUAAAGGGCUCGUAGGCGGUUCGCUAAGUCGGAUGUGAAAACUCUGGGCUCAACCCAGAGCCUGCAUCCGAAACUGGCGGGCUAGAGUUCUGGAGGGGGUAGCGGAAUUCCUGGUGUAGCGGUGAAAUGCGUAGAUAUCAGGAGGAACACCGGUGGCGAAGGCGGCUACCUGGACAGAAACUGACGCUGAGGCGCGAAAGCUAGGGGAGCAAACAGG
rnacentral:rRNA from 1 species